rnacentral:rRNA from 1 species
GACGAACGCUGGCGGCGUGCUUAACACAUGCAAGUCGAACGGAAAGGCCCUGCUUUUGUGGGGUGCUCGAGUGGCGAACGGGUGAGUAACACGUGAGUAACCUGCCCUUGACUUUGGGAUAACUUCAGGAAACUGGGGCUAAUACCGGAUAGGAGCUCCUGCUGCAUGGUGGGGGUUGGAAAGUUUCGGCGGUUGGGGAUGGACUCGCGGCUAAUCAGCUUGUUGGUGGGGUAGUGGCUUACCAAGGCUUUGACGGGUAGCCGGCCUGGGAGGGUGACCGGCGACAUUGGGACUGAGAUACGGCCCAGAGUCCUACGGUGGGCAGCAGUGGGGAAUAUUGCACAAUGGGCGGAAGCCUGAUGAAGCAACGCCGCGUGCGGGAUGACGGCCUUCGGGUUGUAAACCGCUUUAGCCUGUGACGAAGCGUGAGUGACGGUAAUGGGUAAAGAAGCACCGGCUAACUACGUG